AUUUAAUUUUGUCUUCUGAAAGAGAAUGACACAAAAGGCUUUGGUCCUCUUAAAAGAUGCACUCUGUUUACGUGAAUUUAGGUGUGGCUGAUUCUAUAAUCGCAAUGAAAGCCACCCUCAUGGCUCCUACUCUUGAAUGAGAGACUAUGUCUUGCUGCUAGUGAAGAGCUUGUUUAAAUGGAAAACAAAAGUGAGGGGCUGCUCCUUGCUCCUUUUCAGCACCUAUUGGCUUUUUUUAUUUCUUUACUGAAAAGGACAUUCUUUACUGAAAAGCUAUCUGCUGCUUGCUGUCCUGAUGGGAAUCUAUACGUUUACUAAAAACUCACUGUAAGUGCGCUGUUGCAGGGAUGAAAAUGUAGACAUUUACCCGUUUUCAAUUACUUUUCUUAGCAUAGUCUAAAAAACUACGGUUGAUCAGUUUAUAAAUAAUAUAUUGUUUAUUAAUAGAUAAUUUGCACUGGAUGUGUGUCCACUGUGUUUGUUGAGGCCGCUCCCAGGAGUCAUGAGGAGUUCAUGCUAUGCAGGUUUUUUUGUGAACACAUCUCCAACAAAUGACCCAUGAAGUCUGGUGAAAGUUUUUGAGUCCUUACACAUGUCACAGGCAUAAAAACAAGUCCAAAAUAGCUUUUGGUGGUCAGACAGGAAUGAAGUAUCCAUCACUUUACUUGAUAGAUAAACAAAAAUCACCAGUGAGCUAAUUUCAGACAAGGCUGCGUGAUAUGUAAGAAUGUAGCUUUUAAAACUAUUUUUCUUAUACGGUACCUAAAUGCUAUGCUACUUUUUUUAUUUCCUUAUGCUCUCCAGAGAGGUAUUGCAAGAGCAAUAAUCUUGUGUAAUGUCCUCAAACUACCUACAGAAAUCCGUCACAGCUUACAGUAACUCUUGUGUCCUUCGCUUCUGUCAAACCUGAUUCCCAGUUCACUCUCCCAAGAUAGCAUGAAGGAGUUUUUCUGCAAAGCACGUUAGUAGCAAUGGCUAUAACAACCACCCUUGGAGCGUCUGGAGCCAAACACAUUAGAAAGGGAACACUUCAAACAAAAACAUCCUUCUUGGAAGUUAUUUGUACAUAUCACUAACAGCAAAGCUCAAAACUGGAAACUGUGAGGAGAGGGAGGUAGGUUUAUUUUAACUCAAAUUGUAAUAGCUUACUAAGAAAGAAUGCUUCCAUGAACACAGAUAUAACUAAGAUUUUCUUGUUCCUAAAUUUGAUGAAUUUGAUGAAAAGGAUUAAUUAUCUUUCCAGUAAUUGUUACGAUGCCAUAACACGCCAUCGUAACGGUUCAAAGAUUAAGUAUAGAAAAUGCAAUGUGACUUCUAAAAGAGAUUCUGACAUGAGUGGCAGCACCCACUAGUUUUAGGCUUAAUGAUCCCCCCUCUCACACUCUGUUUUUAUCGCACAAGAUAUGUGAGAAACCUCCAAGACCGGACUGGUUUUGAUUUGGUUAGAAUCUUGGGUGAUAUAUACAGGAGAUGAAUGGGGAAAGUGCAGUGUUCCUUGAAAGGAGGGUGGGGAGGACUUGGGGCAUGACGAAGAACAAGUAUAUGAUUUCCCUUGCAAGAUCAGCCCACACUAGCUGAGGGCAGAGGGGAGGCUCUGCAGAACAGCCAUGUUCCCUUGGGAGGAGCAUUCAUGGUAAAGUUGCUCAUUUCCACCCCCGUCAUCUUCCUUCCCAUAUGCCAGCCAAACUGUUUGUGCAGCCACCCAAGAAACCAGACAGAGAACUUAUUCCAGCUGGAAAAAAUAUAUAUAUACAUUUGGCCAUUUCUUUGGCUGGGAUCAAAUCUCUGACCUGGUUCUGCACGUAACUGCACAAACACUUACGCUGGCAAUAGCAAGGGUGCCCAGUGGGGAAUGGAAAAUGCUGCCGGGAGUGGAGAAGGGUGGGGACGAGCCGGUUCAAGCAGCAUUGCUGCUGAAUGUGUAACCAUGGCACAGCAGUGCUGGUGCCAUCAGUGGAGCUGGCCAAUGCAGAGGAAAUGUGGGAAGAAGAGCUGCAGUUCUCAGGCCUCAGCACUGGCCUGCAGAGACCGCUGGCAGCAAAAAGCCAUGCUGCCCAAAGAUUAAUAUGAGAAUUUCUCUUCUCCAUCACUCUCAGAUUUCUUGUGGUGCUUAGGAGAGAACCAUAAUCAAGACCACAAGAAUUCCUGUAGGACAACUACACUUCUAGCCAAGCAGUUAAGAGGGCAACUUCACUUCUUAACCCUUCCCAGGCCUUGAUUUUGUGUUGUAAACAUGGCUGUAUUUUGCCUUUGAGACAACCUCUCUCCACUCUAUAAUUUUGGGCCUCCUCUUCACUAUAUCAAGAAAGGAGGAUCCUCAUGAUCUGUUAUGGAUGUAUAUCCUCUGAGGGUAUGAAAAGAGCCUGGUUUGUUUUGCUUUACAGAAUGAAAAACAAGAGGGAUACCGAUACCAACUUCUAAGAUGGAUAAUAUCAAGGAGAUGGAAGCACAGCAUUAGCACAGGAACCAAUCAAUAAACUGGCCAAGAAGAAAAUGCUAGGUUAGAAAUCAUAAGAAGGUCCUUGGCUGCCUAAGUGAUGAUGUUCUGGAGAAGCCAGCCAGCGAGAGUGGUAAGGACAAGCAACUAAACUAGCCUGGAGAUGGAUGUUGCUUAGCCUGCUGAGGGGAUUACCUGGUAUCAUAGAAUCAUAGAACCAUAGAAUGGCAAUGUGGUAGAGCGUGCCACAGCAAAAGCGAAGGCAAGCAACUAUAUAGCCAAAAGGUUCAUUUUUGGUUGUAUAUUCAGAAGCAUUAGUCCCAUUGUUUUUCAAUGAAUGGCAGGGUUCUAGCUCCUAGCUGGCAAAACUAGCAUCAUCUUUAACAGAAGAGAACCACAGAACAUAGCUGGAAAGGUAACCAUUAUAAGGAAGGCUCUGGAGACUGAGAACACAAAGAUGCAAGCAUAUUUCUAAAAUUCUCCCAAAGGGUGACAAAUAAACAUGUACUUACCCAAUGAAUCAUUAAAUUAUAAGAAAGCAAGGCUAGAAAGGAUUUUGAAUGGUCACAGAUUGCUUCUCCUGUACCAGCAGCUCAGUGAUGCUUGUCCCAUUGGCACAGAUGUUACCCCAUCCUGCUCCAAAAUCAUUCUAGCUGUGGAGAUUACCAAGGUAUCUCAUCCGAGUGCUUCAGUAUCACAACCCUUACAGCUAGAAAUGGUUUUGCUGAUGCCCAACUUAAUAAAUAAAUAUAUGAGCCUUGCUACAAUUUUAGCCUGUUACUCUUAUUCUCUCCAUGUGGGAGAGAAAAGAUUAUUUCCUUCCUCUUUGCUGUGGUGGUUUACAUUUUUGAGGACUGCUAUCAUGUCUUUUUUUCAGCCUUCUCUAUAUUUAAAGAAGCAAAAAUUCUUUUGCUGUUUCCUCACAGAUUACAUUUCAUAGAUCACCAAGUGUUCUUGUUGCCCUCUGAACUCUUGUCAAUUGAAUAAUUGGGGAGCUUUGAACUGUUGGCAGCCUGCAUUCAUUUAGCUCAGGUGAAAAUAGUCAUAGUGAUGCAAGGGAGAGAAAGAAUAGUGGAAUAAUCUUCUUUGUAUUUGGUCCGAUAAGAGGAGCCUAGGGCACAGACUGAAACUUUUGAGGGAUCCAAGAAAGAGUGAAUUUUCUGUCUGUCCUUGAGAGAAAAUCAGUAAUUCCAGCUAGACAGACAGGAUGCCUGCUAGACAAGGAAGAUUCUUGCAGCACUCUUCAAAUUUUCAAAAUGUUGUGGUAAGCCACAAUCAGAAAGGGAGAAUAAAUAGAUUGAAGGUGGAUCAGGCUGUAGGGAGCCCAAGGUCACCUCCUGACCACCAUCUGAAGGUCAUGUAGCUAAGUGACUACUGAUAAUUCCCAGAAAUCCUAGAAGCUCAGGCUUGCUUUAGCUCUCAAAGGAAUAAUUUGGAGUGGUGAAGCUGUAUGCAACUUGGGGGGAAGUUCUUGAAGCCUGAACACUGUUUCCUGGAUGUCAGGCUGUUGGCAUUUAUCUUCCUUAGUCAAACACCUGCUAUUGCAAAGGUAAGUUAUAACCAUUAAUUAACCACAGGUCUCACAGAGGAAGGCAACACUCCAGAAGUUGGGAGCCCAUUGAGGCUACAGUCUGACUGGCAAUUCCUUGGGGGCCCAGGUGGACAAAGAGCUCCCACAUUGAUCUCAUACGUAGUCUGUGAGAGGUUAGAAAGGGGUUAUGUGCACUCAGCCAUGGCCUACACAAAUUACAGGUUGCUUCACGUUCUCUUUUCAUCUCAUUAGUUCAAGACAGACCAAUCCCUGAAACUUCUCCAGCAGUGGUGGGUCAGGAGGCACGCACGUGUGCCUGCACACGCAUGGAGGCACACACCCUGGUUACAUGAUCAUUGCUAAUGUUGCGUGGUCCUUCACAGUCAUAACAAAUUCUUUUUUUCUGAGUCCUCCUAUGAUUACCUAACCAUCUCCGUGAAACUUCUGAACCAGAAAUUUGCUGCUGUCUAAACUUCCCUGUGGAUAUUUCUACUGACUUCAGCACUUACAGUCUUGAUCCAUAUCUGAGUUGGGCCUCAGCAGCGUUUCUCAGCCUUGCUGUGCCUGGCAGCUUUGAGAGCCAUUUCCCAGCUUAAAGUUUGGAAAGUUCAGCUAAUUAAGACUCUUAAUGUGUUUCUUUGCUUUUCUUCUGGAAGUCUCUUCUGAAUCUGGCCCUUAGGAAAUGGUCAAGGUUAGGAUUUUUUGCCCUUCUUGCCCCUUUCUGUAUGGUACUCUUCCCAGUGUUCCUCUCUGCCUGAAUGGAAUCUUUCCCAAAUCUGACCCUGGCAGCAGAGCUUGCCAUGAGCACAUUUCAUACUCCGAACAAAUGCUGCAAAACUCCCAGUGUGCCAGUAGUGUGUCACCUGUAUGUCAUUUUUUCUCAGGAGCCUAGAACUCGAAGCUCAAGUUAUUGCCUGUACAGAGUAAUUCAGAACAUCCAGAUCACUCUCAUUCACUUCAGCUGGAGCUAGUCUAAUAAAUUUAGCAGAAAGUGAACAAACUUCCUUCAACUAACUCCUUCAGCUAACUCCUCCCAGUGCCCUGAGAGCUGACCCAAGGACAAGUGAGGGGUACAUCUGGAAAUGACAUGUUAAUGGCAUUCCCUUCUGCUUAUUCCCACCUUAACACCACACUCCAGCUAUAAAAGAAACCCUCAGCCUUGCUUACUGUCUCCCUUCCCCCAUCUGUGCACUCCUGACAGAGUUCCCAAAUAAACCUUGAAACCCACUAUCAGUUGUAAAACCUCUAAUCAAUGAAAGACACAGGAGCCAGUAAUAUGAAACCCUUUGCCUCAAGAUUUCAGUGCUUCUUGCUGAACAUCAAUCUUUGAGGUCAGGUAUUUGAGCUGCUGUUUGGCUUGAUGCUCGAUGAAUGCAAAGUCAAACAAGGGACAAGCCUGAGUGGGUUUACAAGGCAAGCAGCAUCCUGACUCACAGCCAAAUGGACACUAAAAGGGCAUAACUGGGUAGGGACAGCAGGGAAACAGAGGGAGAGAUUUUGUACAGAGGAAAGAGGGACCUGAAGCAUUGGGCUGCUUUGCUCCCAGGUGUUGAUGAAAAACAGCCAGCUCCAAAAGCAACGACUGCGAGUAACAAAAGACAUAAUUUGCAGUGAAGCGUUUUAAGGGCAAAGCAUGUGAAAGAUAGCUAAAGAUAAUGCCUCCUACAAAGUCCCUUUAAGUCCACAGAAUGUCCUCUUGCCUAAGGUGAGCUUAAGAGCAGACCAGAAGGGAGAGAGCAGUGGGGGAUAGAAUUCUGCUGAUGUUUGAGACAGGGAAGAGGGGAUACUCAGGGAGGUAAAACUAUAGCUACAAUGGGAUGAGAUUAAACCAGCAGCACCUGGCUAUUAAAUAAAAAGUGCCAGGUUUUUGGUGUCAUGUCUCUGGGAAGAGAAAGACCCAUGUUUUUAUGAUGGCCCUAAUUUGAAGUGAUUCAGCUCUGGAAAGUGCACUGCGACAAGAGAAAAUAAUUGAUUUUUUAUGGUGGAAGGUGGGAUUAGGAAACUUAAUGCCACUGUCAUAUCCAUGUGUUCUUCAGUGUCCUCUUGCUUUCUUGCUGCUGGGUUCCAGGGGAAAACAGAAUUUUCUGUCCCGUAAAUAAUUUCUGUAGGGGCAUUUAUGGUUACACUGUUCCUCCCUGAUAGGAUCUUACCCGCAACAAAUGGAGAUGAAGAGGUUUUAAUGUCUGCUCUCUUCAAACAGCUUUAUCAACAAACAGCUGAGAACUGUUUACAUUUUAAAGACAGCCUAUUUAGUUAAAAUGCCAUGUGUUCCAAGUACUGCUGUUACCACAAUGCCUCGGGUCAAGUCCAGGAAUACAAAGUGCAAUAAUGUAUAUUAUUGAGAGGUCAUGUUACUGAGGACUGUUUAGAGACUCAUGCAACCCACCCUGAAGUCACAGCAAGGGCUUUUCUUUGGCUCUGAGGGCUUGAGAGCAGGCACAUACCAACCCAGGAGCUAGGUACAAAAUAUUUAUUUAUUUGCUGACAAAAUUCCUUCUUGGGCUGCAAAUUGCAAAUCAAAACCUCGUGCUUAAUCUGGUUUGAGAAGUAUUUCAUAUUGCACGGAGCAGAUACAAGAGCUAGUCAAACAUUUUUGCUUUGGCUUUGCCACUUCCACACCAUUUGUGAUAUUUGUGAGCAGCCCUUUUAGAAAUCUUUUGCUUCCUGAUGGAAUGGGAGAAUUUCGGGCCUGAGAAUAAGUUCUGAUAAUCCCCAGCCUCUACAGUUUUCACUCUGAAUCAGACACAAGUAUAUUGUUGGUGUGGCUCCAAAAGGCUUUGCUGGAAUCCCUCUGAUUUACACCCAUAUGAGAUCAGCAUUAGGCCCCAGUGUUUUCAUUUUUCAUUUGUUAUUCUUGGCCCUACUGUCCUUUUACCACUGUUGAAUACAAUGUUCCUAAAACACCAGAUGUGCUUGUGAGAUGAGGGAAUACUGCGAAACAAAAACAUAAAUAGAUCACUGGGAUUCGCUAAACAAAGCGUGGUUUUCUUUUGCCCUGCAGUCUUAAUGCUGAGCUUUCAUACCAGUAUAACUGCAUUUAUUUCUACAGGACUGUUUCUGAUUACAGUUGGGAAGUGAAGUUUUAAUCCUUUCUAGUAUAAGGACUUCUGUUACAGCAGCUCCUUAUCAGGGUCAUUGUGCUAAGCUCAGCACUAGCUUGUGUAAUGACUGAUGCUUAAAAAUAUGACAUUAGCCAUGGAUUGUGUACAAGUUCUGGCUUUCCUGUCACUUUUCUAGUAUUUCAUUCAUACUACUUACUGGUUCCAUAUUCUUAUGGGAUUAUUAUUUCUCUUUCACUACUGGCUAAGUGACACAUAACUCCCUUAGUGAGAUACUGGCUAAAUAGCAAUACCUGUUAUCACAUAGUUUAUACCUGUUAAAACUGGUGGGAGAUCCAAAUCUGCCCCAAUACUCCUUGAUGUAGGAGGAAGAGCAGGUUCAAAUCUGCAGAGUGCUGACCACUCCAAACUGAAAUAGCAAAGCACUGAGCAAAGUGCUGAGCUUUAGGUGAAUGAGUAAUGUGACCAAAUGACCUGACUGUCUGACUUGCACAGCCAAGCCCUGUGUGAACACGGAGGCCAAGGCUGUGUGAUCACCUGUAGCUUUUCUUGCUCAAACCUGAGAUCUAGGUGCUACAGCCAGCUCCUCAGUCAUCUGUUUAAAGGUCUGAGCACCUUCACUGGCUGCGGAAGUUGCAGGGAGUUGUUUUCUCCCACCUAGAGGUAAGUCAUUCAUUGUUGCCACUGAAGACCUGGCUGCAGGUAAGGGAAAAGAAUGAUUAAGGGGAAAAAAAGCAACAACCCGAGAGCAUCAGCAACGGUAUCCUUCUGUGUAUCCCAUCAGGAAUUUUAGUUUGUAAGGGUGAGCUGUUGCUAAGAAUUGCUUAUCUUUAAUUAGUCUUUGGGGAUGAUAAAUGUUUUGAAACAUUUCUAAUAGAACUCUCAGUCCUGCAGGAAGCAGCAGUAAAUUUUGUAUUUUAAAGUCACAUUUUGCUCUCAUUUGUACUGCAGUAUAUUUGGAACUGGUCAUUUAUGUCAGAAAUCUAUCUCAAAUUAACACUGGUGCAGGUGAUGGCAGAGUCUACUCUAGUGAGUAUCCACUUUUUGCUGCUCCUAUGAAUCAACAUUCAAAUGAAGCAACAGGAGCAAGACCCAACCCUUUCCUGCAUGGGAGUGAGAAAGAGCAUGUCCAAAUGACAGCAUGUCCGUCCUGCUUGAGCUGUGAAUCAGAGGUCUGCCAAGAGGUGGAAAAAGUGCUCCCCUUGCUCCAGCCUUGCUUCACAGGGAUCCAAAAGCGACUCAGAUCCUUUGGCAGAAAGUACAGACCGUGAGGCAGAGGCCUACAGGGGGGGAUUGCAUCAGGAUGGACAUUUAUUACGUCCACUUCUUCAGACAUACACUCUUCUUAUGAGGUACUGCAAAUUCAUGUGGGCCUAGUCCCCCCUCUACUUAGAAAAAAAAAAAGAAAAGAAAGAAAGAAAGAAAGAAAUUUGAGAGCAGUGUUGGCAGUACUUUGCUGUGAGCCGAUUUCUAGUACAUUGUUUAGCAGGCAGAGUGGUUUGCGUGGUGGUGGCAGCUCUGAAACCAAGAAUUUAACUGAGUCAGUUAAAAUCCUGUAUCACUUUCUGGACUUCUUCAAAAUGUUAAUCUCUCUUAUUCUGAUAACAUUCUUGAUGGGUAAUUGAUUAAUUUGUGCCUAAUAUGCCCAGGGAAGUGGUGGAGUCAUCAUCCCUGGUGGUGUUCAAGAACCGUGUGGAUGUGGCACUGCGGGACAUGGUUGGUGGGCAUAGUUGGGAUGGGUUGGUGGUUGGACUAGAUGAUUUGAGUGUUUUUUUCCAGCCAAUCCAAUGAUUCUAUUCGUUUUACUAAUAACAUUAUUUGUGACUUAGAUUGCUCAAAUAAUACUUGCUGUCUUCAAUCCUGGAGGUGGCUGAGUUGCAGCAGUGAGCAAAAUGCUCUUUGUAUAUGUGGAGUAUACAUGGGCUCUGGAUGAUGGGUGAAGUGAGAAUUCCAGGAGUGCUGAGAAUUGAACAACAUGAGAUGAAAGCUUAAGAAGUGACUUCAGACGGCAGCCUCUUCAAGUCCUUGGUCUCUCUGCCAGCCUCUGUAACAACGGUGCAGAUUUGUGAUGGUGCUUUCUGUGAUGUGCUUCCCUAGCAGAAGCUCGACUGGGAAUCUCAGAUUGUCUCACAGAGAUCAGUGCUGUCUAAUAUUACUAUUCACUGAUGUUCUAAAAAUAGUUGUGAUUAGAUUAUAAUAGAUAGAAACCCUCAGAAAUGGCCCAGAAUGAUAACAGUUAUCUUGGAAUAAGCACAUUUUUUCCUAAUGUAAUCCAUCACUAUGCUAGAAAAAAAAAAGAAUUGCUUGCUCCCAAAGGAAAAUACUUUAUUAUUUUAUAUGCCUAUUAACUGCUAUGAAGGGUAUUGGUGAUUUAUUAUUUUUGUUGUUGGUUUGGGACAGACAAGCCUGGACUGCAGAUGCCAAGAAAUAUGUUAACAACAGCAUUUCUCACAAAUUUCACCCAUUCUGUGAAGUGCUGGCCGUGACACCUGAUUAUGUGACUGCCCAUUGUGUAGGAGUUACAAGGUCACCAUGAACUAAACAAAGGAAAACCAUAGUCUUACCCAAUAUACAGUCCAUAGCAAAUACAAAGUGUGUGGGAAGUAAUGAGUUAGCAUGAUAAGGUAACCAUCUUGCUUGCCUGAAACAGGACUUCCAAAAUCCACUGUUUAUAACUCUCAAAUCUCAUCCUUACAAUUUUUUCCCCUUCCUCUUUUUAGAUCGUAAUUGCUGUUUUGGGUGCCAUUGUCCUUGAAAACCACUUUAGAAGCUUUUCCCAUCACGUAGCAUCCAUCAGCCAUGAAUGAAAGCAGCCUACUUAGAAACAGCUAUUUUAUCCUGGUCACCUGCAGACGCAGGCUCUGAGCCUUCAGUACCUGUUCUCUGACUUCAAUCAUGACAGCCAGAUGUUUUCCCUCCCCACCCAGGCUGCUGGCAGUGUGCACACCUCAGUCAGUAAGGGAAGGAAGAAACUGGAAUGGCUUUUCUAGCAGCUUGGAUGGAGUGAUGCUGAUAGAGGAAAGUCUGUUCUUUACCAUCAUAAGCCUGUCUUGCCUCCCACCAGCUUAUGAUAAUGAACACUCUAAGCACUUGCCUGAAAGCAUCUCAUUUUAGGCGUUUUCCCAUAAUAAAUCAAAGGAAAACAACAAUUCAACCCAUCAAACAGGAAAAAUCCCUGCAGUCCUUCAUCCCCAGCAGAGGUGCUGGAUAUCCUAGGGGAAAGGGCUGCCUUUGUGCUGGGAUAGGUCUCUGUCCAUCCCUAACUGAAGCCGCAUCCAGUCCUCCUUAUUUGCAUCUCUCAUGUGGGACCUGUACCCUCGGGCGAAUUCCCAGCACCUGUGCAUGUUUCAUUACAGAGCCAGACCAGCUGCUCCACCAGCUUCUCAAAGGACCAACACGCCCUGCUACAAGCAGCCCCCGAGGGAGUGCAGUGGUGUGUCCUUCUGACAGCCCCCUCCCCAAAAACGAGGAUGCCUUUUUGCCCUUCACUUCCCCUAAAGCAGGAAUGAAAGGGACUUCAGGUACGCUUCCAGCAGCGCUGGGCCCUGGUGGUGUUGGCAGCCGGCUGUGCACUGUGUCAGGUGUGGGGCACAGUGUGACACCAGCUAGCUUUGAUUUGGAAGUGAUGAGGAGAAAAAGAGAAAUUCCAUUCACGUCACAGGAUUUUGGUGUGCUGUUUUUUUAUUUUAACCCCUGCAUCUGACUGUUUGAGGUGCUCCUGUAUUCCAGCACAACAGGAGAUCAAAUGGAUAAUAAAAACAGCUGGAAAACAGCUACAGAAAAAGAAUGUAAAGAGGUAAAAUAGAGCACAACUAAAAAAAUAAAUCGUAUUUUGCCAGAAGAACUUCAAUGGAAUAGGCAAAAAGAAACAAAUUACUAUGACCCAGUAGUAGUUGUGCUCUACAGGUGAAUAAUCACUGGUUUAAUAGUGUGAUGGAAAACCUAAUUUUCUAAGGAAACCAUACAGCAGUCAGACUUUGGGUUUUGAAAAUACUUUUUGUGAGGUCCCUGCCCAGCGAGCUAAAAGGCUUUACUACAGAGGGUUGCACAAGCUUGAAAAUCUCUUGGGCUUUGGGCUCUCUGCAGCAGGGUUCUGAAAACUUCUCCUGAUCAUUUCAGAGAUCUGCUUUCUUUGAAAUUUUUAUCUACUUCAACUUUUUGUACCUCUUUAAAAUUUUUACUCGUUUCUUUGUUGUAGUACAAAUUAGGUCUAAUUCCAUGGGACUCAGCGGUGCUCAUCAUGAAGCCUGCCUCAGUGAAACAGUGUUUUUUAAAUGAAAAAAAUUGUUUUUCCAGCAGCAUCGGCAUUUCCUCCUCCUCCCCAAAUCAUCUCACCUUUUUCCAGUCAUCUAUUCUUUUGGCUAUUAUUUGAAGUACACCAGUAACAAUAUUGAUGUAAGUUCAGUCCAGAGUGCUUAAAAUAAUAGAAAGCCACAGGCAAACCCUCUUGCUUCUUUUUGUACUCUCUGUGGAACUGUUAACACAAUAGCCGAUGGCUGAUAAUGAGCAAUCCUGUUGCGAAGGAUCCUGGAACAGUAAGCUGUUUUUGUAGGCCAAUCCAAAGUAUAAAGAAGAUAGUGGACUGCUUUAUUCUUUGGGCUCCAAGGUUAUGCGAUGGUAUCAGGUUUUCAAAGGAUGUAUAAUAAGAGAAUUGUUCGGGAGAGAUAACAGCAAUUUGUGGCUGGAUGGGUAUAGUGUGCUAUUCAUUCUGAAAUCUUUUAACAUGCAGUAAAAUAGGCAAAUAGAUAAACUUGUUUGCCAAGGAAUUUAAUGCAAGAGAAAAGUAAUAAUUUUGGAAGGGCUGUAUUCCUUGACUGGGGUAUCCUACUUGCACAUCUGACAGCAAAUUUGACUGCUGAUGGGAAGAGUGCUUUCAAUCAAGAUAGCUGCAGGAUGUGCCAAAUUGCCAGAAAAGACAAAUAUCUCGUGAAUGGUGUGAAAAAAGAGAAGAAACCAAGCAACACAAGGAUGAACCUAUUCUCAAUUACACAUCUGCGGUCCAAUUGAUGUCUACAAAGGCUGCAGAUCUUAGUGCACACAAGCAAUAUUUACCUCAAAAGAUCUAAAAUAAGUGGGAAGGAAUUGCUGAUGACUAACGGGGAAGUUCCAGUGAGAAGUACCAGGUUGUGCUUGAAAAUGUAGAAUGACUGAAAAUGAAAGUAAUUUGAUUACCGAAGAUGAAGAGAAGAAAGUCAGAAGUUGAAGACACCAAUGGAAGCCAGAAAUGAAAGCAUGAGCGCUGGCACUAGGUACAGGCUGAAAGAAAGCUCUGGCUUCAGACCCAGGAGCCCGAGAUAACAAUCUUGUGCCAAGAAGCAUGGCUCCAUUAUUGCUCUCCCACUAAUGCAAAGGAUAAUAGAAUCAGGGUGAUGCAAGUCUGGAAGGGGCCGCAGUAAGGCCUUUAAUUGGUUUCCUGCCCAAAGGCAGAAUGCACGAUACUUACACUAUUUCUGGUAAUUGUGCUCGAGCCUGUUCUUAAAGAUGUCCACUGAUGGAGGCUCUGCAGCCUCAGAGAAGAGGGCAGGGGGGUGGUGAUGCGCGAUGUGGGCUGGCGGGACAGAAAGGCAGGCAAGGGUGGGGAACCAGAGGGAACUGAGAGCAAGAGUGUGAUAAAAAGAAGCAAAAGUGACAAAUCUCAGCCGUAACAUCAAGGGUAGAUGUGGCACUGAGGGGCAUGGUUAGCGGGCAUUGUUGUGAUGGGAUUAUGGAUGGAUUGGAUGAUCUUUUCCAGUCUUAAUGAUUCUAUGAUCUACAUGAAAAAUCCAAAGAAUGUGGGGCAUAGGAUAGGAAAGACAAACUUGUUUGUCAGGAAUUAGCUGAGGAAAUGUGGAGUUCACACGGGAGGAAGUUAGGUAAGGGAAAGAGGACUUGUGUAACAGGAAAUGUGGGCUGCUAUUGAAUUCCCUGCACAUUUGAUUUUUUUUAAAACAGUAUUCUUCUUGUUGCUUGACCAGUGAUCACAUGGACAUUCAUGAAAUUGCCAACCCAACAUCUCCAUAGAUAAACAGAUUGCUCAUCAUGAAUUGCUGUGGCCUAAUGGUGGCUGUUGUAACUGCCAGAGCCAUGAGUAAGGGGUUCAGAAUUGAUACUUAUGUGUUUCCAUAUCAAGAUGAGAGCACAGCACAGUGAAAUAUGAAAACCUAGCCAGUGACUUGAAGUUCUUUCCUGGACAUCUGCCAAGUAAUGCUACCGCUGAGAGGCUGUUAAGUCACUGGGGAGAACUUUUUUUCUCAGAUCACAGAUUUCAUAUAUACAUUUUUACAAGCAAUUUGAAUCUACUGAAAAAUAGGAGACCGGUAUCACUUGAGGUAAGAGAGAGAAGGGAGGAGAAAUGGAGGCUGAGAACAUCAGCUGGUAUGAAUUAUCUUGCUGUCUGCACUAGCUGAUACAAGAACACUCACUGAGGGAUGGAAGUAAAUUGCAGAAGGGCAUCCUCAGGAUUUAAGAAACUUAACGCUACUGUGAUUCCAAUAUAGUUUCAGUAGUUAGGGAUAUCUGGGAGAAUACAUGUCAUUCAGCAGCUCAGGCUAAGUCAGAUGUCCAGUCAGACUACAGCGAUGAUCACUUUUGGCUUUUAAGUUAAUGUAUCCAAGAAGUGUCCACAACCAGCUGGCAACUCCAUUCAUGCCAGUCCGUACCUGAAAUGGACAUUUCCUCAGAAGAGCAGUGCUACUUCGAACACACACAUCCCAUCUAACCAGCACGGAGGUGGCUCUGAAGAGCCAGAUGGCCUUCAUUAGUACAGGAGGCAGAUGGAAAUCAGGAAGAGAUUCAAACUCCCUAAAAAGAGCUGAAGUUACAGCACACAGCAUGUGGCCAUUCAUUAUCACUGCACAUAUUGUCUUGACACUGAUUGCACACAGGGAUGAAAAUCCAUAUAAGACAGGGUGAGUUAAACAGGGUUAUACUUGCUAAUAUGAUUUUUAAACGCACAUCUCUCACAUCUUGGCAGAAAACAGAGAAUCUGCAUUUUAGAGAAACUCCCCCUCCGGCUCUCUUAAAGGGACUGCACCUUGAAUUGAAGGAGUAUGGUGCACUAAAGGUGUCCCAAGUUGGACAGAGAUGACAGAAGCUUGGUAAUAAUGCUUAUCUUACUUCUAAGUAAAGAACAACACUAUACUACAUCAUCAGCUUUGGGCCAAACCUCAGCCUCUGACAGUGAGAUGAUGUGAGGAUUCAAGGCUGGAAUGACACUGAGGAGCUGUAGGUACAAAAGGAUGCUCUUCAGCAUCUCUGUGUGGGGCCUUGCUGCCUGCGUGCACGUGACUUCCUAGAAAAGAUCUGUGCUCUGCAUAGACAGAAUAAUAAUGAUUGCUUUGCAGGGGGUGGGUAAUGCCAUAGAAAGCCAGCCUCUGGCUCGUAUGUCAGAUGUUGAAUACAUUAUUCAAGUGCAGCAGAAUUAUGUGAUUACUCAGGAGAACAUCCCUGAAGUAAUAAAAAGCUUUGAGGAUGAGACAGGAUCUCUAAUUCGGAUGAAAAUAUUACUUCCUGCCUCUUCUCAGUGCAGCGGUGAAGUGUCACUGCAACACUGGCCAGUAGAUAGCUAUGCCACCAUAGCUCAGGACCUCCUGGCCCUUUCUUUCCUCGAAAGUUUUAAGUUAGCCAAUUGAAGUGUAUAAUACAUGAACUCUCGUGAACCCAAGAUAGGACAAAACCAGAAAAAAAUGGUUAUUCUGGCCACCACAAACAAGGGGGAUAACUGUUUGCAUAGCAGCCAGGGCGAACCUGCCAUCCCCACUGCUGAAACCCUGCCUGGAUUCCACCCGCGUGACUUCACUCGUGAGACGAGUCCUGGUUGCAUGUGUUGCUCCAAGGCCAAGUUUGAGGCAAGAGAUUCCUUCUCUGUCUCCAAUGUUAUUUUGGUAUAUUUUAUUUGGCCCAGAAUUUGGGAAAACAAGAGGGAAGUUUUCCAUAGGGAGUGGAGUGAGGAGGCAGGAAGGGCUACCAUAUUUCUCCAGACGGAAACUCCUACGGCGUUAGAGUCCAGCACUGCUGCAAGUGUCAACAGAUCAAAUAUGAUACUGAAGGCCCUUUGCCAACUCUUUGCUGCUGCAGCAACAAACUGGGAGGAAAGCAGGAUCUAAUCUCCAGUACCACUGAGUUAGGUUCAGCCUGUGCUGAAGAGGGAUGGAGCUGGCAGAAAGCACUAACCACCCUCUCCUUCUCAUGCAGUACAACACGGGCUGGUCCAGCACCUGCAGCAGGACAGGGCUGGCCUGCAGAGGCUCAGGCCAUCUGCUGCAUCAGAUACGGUGUUAGCUCCUCUGUGAUAGUGUCUUAACAUAUGGAGUCCUCACCCCAGUCGCUGCCUCCCAAGGAAAUCCCUGAAAACUAAAUUGCCUCCAGAGCACCACACCGCGCACUGUGCCCCUCCAUGUCAGCAGGUGUGAUUCAGACCGAUAGCUGCUGAGGGCAACAGACUGAGCAGUAAUUAGCUGCUGUUAGUCAUCCUCUUCCCAAGUACGAGUGGUAUAACAUUUGAUUAUUUCAACACAGUUGGAUGUGGGAGGGAAGGUAGGCCUGGAAACAUGCUCCUGACAGCAUUCUUCUCUGCUCUUUUAAAGCACCUCUUGUGCCAACGCUCAGCACAGCAUUUCAAAUAAAUGCGAUUUCCUCUUGUAGGGCAGUGAGGAAAAAAUGCUGUCAUGGGUUUUGUAACAAACAUUAGGUAAGCAAUAACUGUAUCCAUUGUGCAAUGUGGGAUUCAGGUAGGAAAACAGUCCAUAGAUGGCUAACCGAGAGGCACCGCGUGUCUCAACAACAGGGAGAAGGUGAGAUCAGCACAGAGAAGGGACCAGGUUGAAUGUGUUAGUGGGGCAAUUUCACGCUGGUAAGCGUAAGGAACAAAAAGGUACAGUUCUUAGAGGGGAGGAUACUAAACUGACACUGCUACAGAAAGUGUGGAUUACUUGUGUUCACUCUUCUUGUUACUUUCUCAUAGCACCAUGUAAGCGCUCUGUGGUUUGUCUUCAGCAAGCUGCUGUUUUUCUGGUAUACAUCUCACCUACCAUGCAGUGUUAAGGCCAUUAUUAAGGGUAGUGUUGGUUCAUAUUAUGAAAAUGACCCAGAAGUUUGAGAGCUACCUUUCUCUUAUUUUCUCUUGAGCAAACAAGUCCAAAAUUCCUGUCUAUCUUUUGCCAUAGCACCUGGUAUACUGAACCUCUCUCUGAAGGUCUUUGUGUUUGUCUUCACAAAAUCCUGGAGACAGAAAAACAGCCUCAGAGGGAAGAAACCGUUUAGGGAUAUGAGAUGUUGACAGAUCUUGAGCAACUAAAAUGUCCUCAAAAUCCACAGAGUACAUUUUUGAGGGGUUAAAGAUGAUUUAACAAAGAAAUGUCCCAUAUAUAAUAAUUUGGGAGGGCUUACUUUGGGAGGGCUUACAGAGAAUCAAAUGAAAAAUAUUUGGGGUUCUAGAGUUCCCAUAUCUCAACUAAGAGUGUCCAAUACACAAGCACAGCCCACAUUGCUGUCCAUGUCUGUCUAUAAUCAGCUUUUUUAUAGCAAAAUAUUUCACUCUUACCAAGCAAACUUGAAAGAAAAAGAAGUUCAGACACCAAGCUAAAUAUAUGUUCUGAAAUUGCUUAGUCCGGCAUUUAGAGCAUAUUGUUGUAGGCUUGCAUUAAAAAAAAACCUCUGAACCAGCCAGAUGAGUGAGCUGAGCUUGUAACGAGCAGGUCAGAAACCACACCAUAGCGGUGGUUACUUCCCUUUCUUGCACAAAGACCUCAGCAACAUUGAUGAAAUGAUAUGAACAACCUAAUACAUUGGCAUGGUGUACAGGUGCUACCAGUUUUAUAGGUGCUAAAAGGAUGUAUGUCUUGGUUUUGAAACAGGAGAGGUGGAUGACCAAGAAAGUGUCCACAUUCUGGCUGUGAAAAUGACAGAUGUAUAUUGACAUGGGUUUACUUUUUUCGUGUGUUUUGUUGUGCUUUUUCUUUAAACCAAUAUUUGUAACUAUACCAUAUACUGUCUGUGAUGAAUUCAUUACUCAUAGAACCAGGGUGAUGGAUUUAGCGUGUAGCAGUUUGCACAGAUACUAAGUUUCAUGUUCUAAUGUGUCUCUUAGCAGUGUUUUAACUCAGUUGAUUUUGAGUGUUGUUUUGGGAAUGUAACUGAAAUAACGUCAAGUAAUGCAGUAUCAGCUCUAUCUUACUGGGAGAUUAUUCCAUAUUCAAACAUCCAAACUUUUCCAUUUUUCCAUUCCACUAUUCACCCUUGUAGUUCUAAUAUUAAGUUCCUGUAUUACAUUAACCCUCUCUGGGGUUUUAUGCUUUAAAUAUUUAUAGGCAGCUAUAAUGCCCAAAUAAUCACAUUUCAAGACUGAAAAAUAAUUGUAUGGUAAAAAUAAAUUUUACCAGAGCUUUAAGCCCUUGAAGGAGGUAAAAAAUGGCUUUAUGAAGAAGAAAUCUACACAGCAUUGUAGUUGACUUCCUUUUCUUGAUAGUGUUACUUUAGAACUGACUGUCAGUACAUGAUAGAUCCUGUGAGAUACGUUAUAUACAUGGCACAGUGAGAGGACAAAAAAAUCAGGUUCAAGAAAUAACCAUCAUUUUUGUGAUGUGUCUGACAACAUAUAGGAUGUUUGAAUUUGGGCAAAGAAACAAAGCACUGACUGGGAUUUUUUUAUAGCGAGGAGGAAAGCUCCUGCAGAUGCUGAGCACAGAAUUUACACCAACUGAGACAUUUGUGUGAUUUGUGCCUCAUGGUAUCUUGGGCUGCAGCCAAAUGUGUAAGCUGCUCAGAGCCUGUCUGAGUCCCCUGACAUUACAUAUUCCCCGUAAUGCAAGAUGUUUUUAAAAAGUAAUUUACUUGCUGUGAUAUUAGAAGUCCUAAUGAGUGGAUCUAUACUUCCUUCUGGGUCUUUUGCAAGCCCCGUAAUGAAUGUUGUGUAAUCUCUGUCACUUGAUUGUAGAUCUAAUUUUAGGUACUGAUGUUUGAUUCGGAGGUUUUUAGUACUUUAGGAAAGACUAGAAUGAUUUGCAUUUCCAUGACCUGCAUUGUUUUGAAUCCUAAUUGCUGUCCCUUAAUCACAUAAUCACUAGGAACCCGAUCCUUCAGAUGCUUACUGUUGUUUGCACAGUGAGACUGUUGAUAGGACUAAGAACUGUUUCCCAUCUAAGUGUUUGCAGAUUUACAUCCUGUCUCCAGCCACAGUGGAGAGGACAACGGCAGGGGUGAAGGCACAAGGAAUAAACAGCUCGUGGUUCAGGUUGCAGGCACCAGGAGGAGCUAAGCCCUGCAUCCCAAACAGGGUGGCACCACCAGAGGAAAUGAGCCUGACUCAUCAGAAAGCUUUAAUAAUUUGUCCUUUAUACAGACAUUUCUUGGGGCAGUCUGCAUACUCAGUCUUCAUGUGGCUGACAGUUGUGAAGCCAUGGCAGUAUCUACAGAUACCUGAAGCUUUGUCCUGUCAGCCUACUAUGGUUGAGGGGUUAUCUGUGCAGAAAGACAUCCUAGAAUCAUAGAAUCCUUAGAGCUGGAAGAGACCUCUGAAGGCCAUCUAGACCAACUCCCCUGCAAUGAACAGGGACGCCACAGAUAGAUCAGGCUGCCCAGGGCCUGAUCCAACCUCUCCUUGAAAUUCUCCAGUGACUGGGCAUCCACCACAUCUCUGGGCAACCUGUUCCAGUGCCUCACCACCCUCAUUGUAAAAGACUUUUUCCUUAUAUCCAACCUAAAUCUCCCCUCUUUGAGCCUGAAGCAUCACUUUUACUGUUUUCACAGUCUGGUUUUCAGUGUGAUGUUGCUUGUAUUCCCACAAGACAAAACCUUUUCAGCUAUUGAUGGCAGUUAAUGGUUUGUGGAGGGAUGUGUGAGAAGAGGAGUUGUUUACAGGGGAAAAAAAUGAAAUAAAAAUAAAGGCUGAGGUUUCUGGACUGAAACAGCCAAACUACUGUGUUGAUUUCAGGGGCAGAUGAGUGGAACAAGUUGUAUCUGAGAGAAAGACAGUGCAAUAUAGAUGUCAUCUAUAUAGAUGUGAAACAUUUCUAAAAAUGUAUCACAUCUCAAAGAUAGUCAAAAUAUGGACUUCAGUUCUGCUACAUUUGAAUCUACUUGUUGAGUUCAGGUGUACACCACCAGUUGAGAGAGAGGGAUGUUCUGCAUUGGAAUUACCUGACAGCAAUUUCUGUCAGCCCUGCUAGGGCUGCCUGCAUGAAGGUAGUAUCACAUGGCGACAAAGGAAAUUGAGAACUUUUCUAGGUUAUAGCAGUUUUCAAAUCCACCCAAAUACUUUCUCCAGUGGGCUUCUCACCUGCAACUUCAAGGCAUCCAUCAGUCUCAUGGGAUCUCUGAUAAACACCAUGUAGAAUUCCUGGAAUACUUCACUAAGGUCAAGCACAGCAGAAGACUCAGUGCUGUCUCAUUCUCUGCCCAGCCUUGGGCACAGAUUUGAGCAACAUGAGAGCUGCUGUGACCCAUGUCAUCUGGCAGUGGUCCCCAAGAGCUUGUUUACACUGGAUAUUUUUUCACAAGAAUGUAAUUACACCGCUGAAACUACACGAGCGUGACAACUUUGCACGUGUAGCAGAAUUAAGCCAGGUAAGGAGUUUUGUUGUAAGAUUCAUUUAAUACCAGUGUGGUGCGUCACCAAUAACCACCCUUGCUACUGACAAACCGCACCUAUAGGCCAUGCACCAGCUGCAGAUUGCCAGCAUUACAUUUCAGCUCUGUGCCUUUGCUCCUGAUCCCUGUAACCUGCAAGAGCCAACCAAGCAUACAGUUCUGCACCGUGCACAGCACACACGUGUUCUGCAAGGAAAAAGGCGAUUUGAUGUUACUCCGGGUGUAUAUUGAUAUCUUCAGUCAAAUGAUCAUGUUCCUUUUUUUUCUGUCGGACUUCUGCCAGGGCUCAGUUCUGCAGGGUGUUGAGCCCUGCUGUGAGGCAUUGACUGUCCCUUGUUUCCUGCCAUCAGUGGCCCAGGAGAGCUGUCAUUAUCCUUCAGGAAUGCUUGACAUCUUUCAGAAAUGCUGAGCACCUUCCAGGACUGGAGCUACUGGGAUGAAUGGGGCAGAAACAGGCUCACGAUUUGCAUUUGGCCCAGACUGCGCUUUUGAAGGACGCGAGGAAGUUCUUUAUUCUGGACUAUGAGCCUGCUCUUGCUUUGACUGAAGCAAGUGGAUUUUAUUUCUGUACUUUGAUGUAGAGAGUAGAGAGGUUGACUUUCAUCAGCUUGUGGCUGUUGAGUAGCAAGCAAGGCAGUCUGGCUGCUCCACAGCAUCACAGGCAGGCUCAGCCACAAACACAGCAUCAUCGUUUUUUUCACACCUUCCUCUGCUCACCUUCAUCAAACAGCUCCUCUUCAUUAAAGCAGUACCUCUGCUUCUCUGCUCGCUUUAGAUGUGUUAUGACACUGCUGUGAAGCACAGAAUUCCCUGAAGCCUUAGGGAGAAAAAGAUAAAUUAGAUAUCUUGAGCCAUCACUACAGAGAGAGAAAAGGAGAACGUGGUGCUGAUUUCAGCAAAUAGCCAUGCUUCCACAACACUUACUCACUGUUAGGCUACUCCACAAACCUUUUGUAUAAAGAAAAUUUGCAAGAACAGCAAUGAAGAUGACAUAAUGAAUGAAGUGAGCAGUUAUUUUUGGCUGCCCCCAAUUUGGGUGACAUUGAGUUUUGCCACAGCACCUGCCACGAUGGCUUGAUACGGUUUGAAAUAGUGCAUGAAUAAUAAACAAGGCUCACCUCUGGUAAAAUUCAGUGUUUGAGGUUUUUUUUAAUGUCCUUUUAUCAUGUUCCUGUUGCUUGACUUUAUCUGAAGGGAUUAUGUUUAGAGAGCGUAUAUAGACAAAUAGAUACGCUAAUAAAAAAUGCAAUAGUUGAUAAGGUACAAGCAACACAGAGCAUGCAGUGCAGGCUACAACUAGCUCCAGACUAAAAAUGGUUACUAACAUAACUGAAAUUUGUACUUUGGUCAUUAAAAAACACAGAUAACAAACCAGUAAAGUAUCCUUCUGACUGGUUUACUUUCAGGAGGCUAGAUUGUAUUUGUUAACGUAGAUCAAGAGAACGGUGAAAGAAGGGAAAUAAAAGGAGCCAUGCUUUCUAUUCCAGUAACUAGAACGAGAGGUUGAGGGGGAAAUGCAGGUUUCAAUCUGAUAAAUAAGUGCAUGAUAUACGCCAGGCUUAUGGCAGGGCUGUUGCAGGCCAGGAGAGCUCAGGAGGGACGUGUAUUUCUGAGCCCUAUGAGACUGGCAGUUCUCGCUCUUUAUCCAGUCCUCAUCUUCUCUGGUCCACGUUCAGAGGGUUUGGCAGGACUCGCCAUUGAACACCAUCUGAUGGAUGACCUAUUACAGAGCCUGAAGACUUCAAAUCUGCCCAAGAGAGGUUUCCAAAGCUCACAAUGAAUGAUUUCAUAAUCAGUGACCUGAUUUCCAGAGUUCCUUGAUAGUACAAAAUCUCAUUAAAGAUAAAAGAAAAAAUGAAAUGUAAGCUUUUGAACAAUUUUUCAAUUGAAAUUGACUUUUCUGGAGGGAAAAAGAACAAACCAAAACAAACAAAACAGUUUAUCUGGAAAGUUAAAUACUCUAAUUUCUCAAAUGCAGAAUCCUGAAACACCUUGUUUCACCAACUUCCAGCAGGAAGCAGUAUUAAUGAACACUGUGGCAGAAGCCUGGAUUCUAGAAAGAUCAGGGAAAAAGAAGAAACUGCAGUAGAAACAUUUGGCUUGUCACAAUUGUUAU